CAGAGAGAGACCUGACCGGUCGCCAUGUUGAAGCUCAGGAGCUACUGCGGGCCGAGGGAGGCUUCGGGGCUCGUGGAGCUGAGAAGGGACACGGUGAGAAUGGUGAGGCAGAGGACGUAGAGGUUGAUAGCUUCGAUCACUGGCUGGGACUGAACGGAGACUACACUGCGGAUGGGCAGGGCCGUCGGACCGGGCCUCGCGAGUCGGCGUGAGCCUCAACCUCAAGGGGUUGCUUAGGGCCUCACGCCUUUCCCUCGGCUUUUUACCCAGGGACCCAGGGAGUCGCUUCUCUUCUGGCUGUGGAGGAGCCCUUAGACCUCCUAGCGGGACAAUCUGGGCAGAAGGUGGCUUUGUUGUGUUUUGCGGACUGGGGACAGCGAGCCUCGCGCCUUUUGGACGAGAAGCCCGCUUGCACCUGAUGAGUAGGGGUAAACCUAGGUUAAUUUUCUUGUCGUCUUGCCAUUUUUUUUUCCUUCCUCAGGUAUCUGACCAACACACACACUGAAUCUUAAUACCGCAUGAUUUACAAAGGGCAUCAAAUAAAUCAUUGGUAGAUAUGAGUGUGCAGGUUUUUAUCUUUGGUCCUGAAAAUAAGAAAGACAAGGAGCUACCAAAAGAAGUUAGCACCUAAUCUUACCCACCAGCGAAAGUGAAAGACAUUGAAAAGGGACUACAAGUGUGCUAUCUUACUCAGGACUAUCGCUGAAUGAACUAUACUAAAAUACUUCGGGUCUUGAAGUUGGUAACCAUGGGUCACCAAUUUAACUUUUCUUCUUUUGUUAGCGUAUAUUAACAAAAUUAUGCAAAAUAAUGUGUUUUGUUGUGACAUCUGCAUGUAGUUAACCAUCACCUCUUACCCACUUGGUACCGCACCAAUUAAAAUGCAUUUAAUGCCUUCUUUGGCCUAUUCUAAAUGUAUGAUUACUUUAAGAACUUUUGAGUCCUUUUGCUCAGCAUCUCAAAUUAUCCUGCAUAACUAAAGCAGUACUGUGUGUUUGUUUUUCAGAUUCUGAUGCUCACUUUGGAAAGAUGGGAAAUUUUACUUCCUUCUGAGUGUCUCUGAAAACUUAAAAAUGCUGAUAUGAAUAAUUUGUGUUGUUUGUUCUCCCUCUCUUUUGUAUUUAAUUGUGAAAGCUGAGUUUUACGCAGAAGAUGUAGCUCAAUGGUAAGAAUUCACCUAGCAUAUACUCAAGGCCUUGGAUUGGAUUCCCAGCCCUGGUUUGUUUGUAUCAGGGAAAAUACAUACUAUGCCUCUGUUAGAAGUUAAUAAAAUUCAAAAGAUAACUACGCUAUUCAGAAAACAGUUAAAAUAAUUUUCAAAGACUCGGCUUAUGUUGUGAGAAGAAACAAUGCCUGUGGCAAAAGCCAUUCAUCCAUAAAUUCAACAAUGUAAAAGCCUCAGAAAUAUCGAUGUCCUUCUACCUGUAAUGAUGCUUUGUUGAAAUGAAAUUCACAUAUGCAGUUCAUCCAUUUAAAGGGUGUAGUCCAGUGCGUUUUAGUUUGCUCAGAUUUCCAACGGUGAACACAAUUAUACAAGAAAACUAUACUAUGCAAAACCAUGUGCUUAGACUUAACUGGAAGGAUAAAUGAAAAUGGGGGAGAAAAAACAAAAAUACUAAGAGUUGUAAUGAAAAACUUUUAUAGCAUCAAAGGAAGUUAUUACAAAGUCCUGUCACUAGUCCAUCCAGUGAGUUCAAAUAUCCAAUCCAGGUGUCUGGCAAAUGUGGACUUAGCUGUAUCUUAGUGCACCUGCUACAUACAUACUAAGCUUAGUGGCACAAGUGAACAGAAGAGCAAUAUUAGAGAAUAUUAAAUUCAAGGAGCAUCAUGGAAACAAUAUAUGAGAUUACGCUGCUUGGUAAAUAAACGAUGGAGUUGUUUCUAAUGUAAGACUAUCAGCAUCUUAAGGUUACAUUCUCAACAGAAAACAAAUAAUGACAUAGUAUUACUUAGCUAUUAUCAUUACUUGCUACAGGAAUUGGCAUAGUUUUUUAAGUUAAAUGUAAAAUCCAGGUGACUGAACAGUGAGUUUGAACCCCAGAACCCACUGUACAAGAAGGACCUCCUAAAAGUUAUCCUGACCUUGUGUCUGCCAGUGUAAAUUCUGGCACAUAAAUAAAUAAAUACAUACUAACAAUUAAAAAGAAAAGAAGACCUUAAGAACAAGUCUGCCUGGCAGUAUCUGUUAACAAGAAGAGGUGAGAAUACAACUGGUUGGUUCAACCUAAGAGUCUACUGCAUAGGAACUGCUACACAAUCGAGAAAGCAAAAAGAAAAUGACAUUCUUGAGUAUUUCAGCUCUCUGCACAUAUCCCAAAGACAUGCAACAACCAUUGUCAAACAGACCUGGUGACAAAAAGUUCUGUUUAAAGCACACCAUCUGUACAUGGUUUCAUAAACAUACCAGGACUUGGGAAGCUUGAGUUCAGAACUGGCUUGUAGAUACCAAGAUUGUGUCUCAGAAAACAAAUCCUGGUUGCUGGGAUUAAAGUGUAAUCAUCCUUCAACUCUACUGCAAGAAAAAUAGUUCGGA